UUGCUGGUCAACAGACUACCACUAGUUUAGUUUUAAGGGAGUCAAUUGACUGUGGGGGGUAGGGGGUUGGGUGAACUAAUCCUCACAUUGUUCAAGGAAAAACUAUGUAUGAGUAGGUGCUGGGGUAGAUAGGAAGAAUACCCUAGCAAAAUCGGAUAUUCUUAGGGGAAAUGGGUGCUGGGUAGUCAGCCGACAGAUCCCUAGUACUGUAGCGCAUACCACUGUUGGAUACCUAUGUUCUGAUUUUUCAGUCUUAUAUGUUGGCUGUCUCUACCUCUGUAGGCAUCUGCGAUUGUUUUCCUGGAACAAAUUCUUAAUGUUGAGUUGCUGGGUCAAAGUAGACGAAUGUUUGAUUUGGUCUUGAUAAGCUUUCUGGAAGAAAGUUUGUUUCCUACCAGGCCGUGCCUCGUAACGCCGGGAGCUGCACGUGUUCACACAUGACGUGCAGCUGUGUUUUAAGUUUUGCUGAUUUGAUAGGAUGUGCCGUGCUCCAUGAUAGCAGGGCUUUGGCCUGUUCACUGCCGUAUCUCUAGUGGCAUGGACGACGUAAGUGGAGAGUAGACACUAAAUGAGAAAACUGAGCUCCAGAGAGAGAGAGAUUCCACUUAGAGUCUCUUGUUGGUGAAAGGAGCCAAGACUCAACCUGCUUUGCCUUAUUCUCCUGUGCUCUUUCAACUCCCUAUGCAUUGUAUUAUAGAACUAUAAGGGAAAAAAUGCAUGUACUUUUUAACAUCUUAAGGACUUUGAAACUGCUGUUUUAAAAAUAACUUGCUAUGUGAUCACAA